CGCGAUUCGCCCUUCGGGGUGCCAGGCGCGAAAACUUUGCAAUACACGAAAGUGUGACAGGGUCAUCCCGAGUGCCGACCGCUGAGGUUGGCUUUUACCCAGUCUAGAAAGCUGGGGGAAUAAGGAGAGGGCAAGUCUGGUGUCAGCCGCCGCGGUAAUACCAGCUCUCCGAGUGGUGUGGACGUUUAUUGGGCCUAAAGCAUCCGUAGCUGGCUGAACAAGUCCCCUGUUAAACCCACCGAUUUAAUCGUUGGUCUGCGGGGGAUACUGCUCGGCUAGGGGACGAGAGAAGCAGACGGUAUUCCCGGGGUAGGGGUGAAAUCCUAUAAUCCCGAGAAGACCACCAGUGGCGAAGGCUGUCUGCUAGAACGCGCCCGACGGUGAGGGAUGAAAGCUGGGGGAGCGAACCGGAUUAGAUACCCGGGUAGUCCCAGCUGUAAACGAUGCAAACUAGGUGUUUGGACGGCCACGUGCCGUUCUAGUGCCGCAGGGAAGCUGUUAAGUCUGCCGCCUGGGGAGUACGAUCGCAAGAUUGAAACUUAAAGGAAUUGGCGGGGGAGCAC
rnacentral:rRNA from 1 species